rnacentral:lncRNA from 13 species
GAGGACUUGCUCUUCCAGAUGUGUUGCUGAGCAUUCGUGACAACAGCUGAAGUCAACACACAUCCAGCAUGUCUGAAACUUAAGCCCCGAGGCCCAGUCAACCUUUUGCUGAAAUCAGUGGAGAGGCUGGCAGCAGUGGGAGCUGGACUGAGGAAAAAAAGUCUUUUGAGGCUAAAGUCAGAGUGGGAAUAUCAUGAAAUACUGGGUUCCUGCCCAGCUCCAGUGCUGGCUGUUGUCCAGUACUGGCUAGUCUGUGCUCUGUGCCUCCAUUGCUUGGCUUUGUUCCUGUGAACAAUCGUUUUAGCGCUUUGAAAUGUAACAUUUUGAAAGCUCCUUCUGGCACAAGCUCUAUGAGUGUGAGAGUGGCCAUGUUUUGUUUGUGCCUUUUUGAUUAUGUUCUGGGAAAAACAAUAAAACUAAAGUGUGCUGUUUCUUGGUUUAGAUACUGUGGACUUUGUAAAAUUUUUCCUGAGAGACAGAAGCAGAUGGAGCCUUGCUCUAGAUGGCUGUAUUGCACCCCAGCUGAAGAAUGGGUUGCAGGGAGGAUGAAGUUUUCCUGACAUUUCUCGAAACAAUCUGAAAGGUUAUUAGUAUCUCUAGGAAUUUUUAGAAUCCCAUGUUCUGUUAAUGCCUAAGAAAUUAUUAUUCCAAGCUUAGCCUUCUUCCAAAGGGGUAGGGGGAGGAAAUUCAGUCCUAACACUGGUGUAUCCUAAGCACAGAAAUUGCUUACCAGUUUGCACUGUAGCUUAUUAUUAGUGCUGUGUUUUCUGUACUCCUGUAUGCUAGUAUAGAAGGAAAAAAUAAACUCCUUUUUCGUAUCUUUAUGCCACAUUGGAGAGAAAUUAUUUGGUUUUUUUCUUUGUAUUCUUUGUAUGGACAGCUGUUUUAAAUUAGCCUGACCUUCAGUAGCCUUGUCAUAAGAACUGCUAUGGAUUUGUUUUUAUCAUGUCAUGAAAUGACUCUCAGUUUAAAACCCCACCCAAAGCCAGUCAACCAAAAUAUUUUCACUACUUCCCUGCCAUG